rnacentral:rRNA from 1 species
GUGACUAUAUGUUUAACGGCCGCGGUAUUUUGACCGUGCGAAGGUAGCGCAAUCACUUGUCUUUUAAAUGGAGACCUGUAUGAAUGGCACGACGAGGCUUUAACUGUCUCCUUCCCCAAGUCAAUGAAAUUGAUCUCUCCGUGCAGAAGCGGGGAUAGACCCAUAAGACGAGAAGACCCUAUGGAGCUUUAGACACUAAAACAGCCCAUGUUAAAAACCCUCACAAAAGAGACUAAACUAGAUGGUCCCUGUCCUAAUGUCUUUGGUUGGGGCGACCACGGGGUAACAAAAAACCCCCGCGCGGAACAGAAACACUGUUUCCAGAACCAAGAGCACCCGCUCUAAGUAACAAGACCCACUUGACCUUUGAGAUCCGGCAUUAGCCGAUCAACGGACCGAGUUACCCUAGGGAUAACAGCGCAAUCUUCUUCGAGAGUUCAUAUCGACGAGAAGGUUUACGACCUCGAUGUUGGAUCAGGACAUCCUAAUGGUGCAGCCGCUAUUAAGGGUUCGUUUGUUCAACGAUUAAAGUC